rnacentral:rRNA from 1 species
CCCUUAGAUGUCCUGGGCCGCACGCGCGCUACACUGAACGGAUCAGCGCGUUUUCCCUUCCCGAGAGGGACGGGUAACCUGCUGAACCCCGUUCGUGGUAGGGAUCGGGGCUUGCAAUUAUUCCCCGUGAACCAGGAAUGCCCAGUAAGUGCAAGUCAUAAGCUUGCGUUGAUUACGUCCCUGCCCUUUGUACACACCGCCCGUCGCUACUACCGAUUGAACGUUUUAGUGAGGUACUCGGAUUGAGCCUCAGAAGAUUCACGUCUUUUGUGCUGCUCGGGAAGAUUCCCAAACUUGAGCGUUUAGAGGAAGUAAAAGUCGUAACA